rnacentral:rRNA from 1 species
AUUGAACGCUGGCGGCAGGCCUAACACAUGCAAGUCGAACGGUAACAGGAAACAGCUUGCUGUUUCGCUGACGAGUGGCGGACGGGUGAGUAAUGUCUGGGAAACUGCCUGAUGGAGGGGGAUAACUACUGGAAACGGUAGCUAAUACCGCAUAACGUCGCAAGACCAAAGAGGGGGACCUUCGGGCCUCUUGCCAUCGGAUGUGCCCAGAUGGGAUUAGCUAGUAGGUGGGGUAACGGCUCACCUAGGCGACGAUCCCUAGCUGGUCUGAGAGGAUGACCAGCCACACUGGAACUGAGACACGGUCCAGACUCCUACGGGAGGCAGCAGUGGGGAAUAUUGCACAAUGGGCGCAAGCCUGAUGCAGCCAUGCCGCGUGUAUGAAGAAGGCCUUCGGGUUGUAAAGUACUUUCAGCGGGGAUGAAGGGAGUAAAGUUAAUACCUUUGCUCAUUGACGUUACCCGCAGAAGAGGCACCGGCUAACUCCGUG